rnacentral:lncRNA from 1 species
UUUUAACACGAUACUAUUAAAUUUAAAAUGUUUUAGAAAAAACCUGAAUACAACUCAUGGAGAGGCUGAUAGAACCACAGUUCCUGAUGCAAUAAUACGAAAUCUCAAAGAGCAACUUGCAACAGUUUUUGCCAAUUACUCGUGGGCGUGCGUCAGACGAAGUCUUAAUCAGAGCGGCCUAGAUAGGAAGAAAAAACGAAAGUAAUCAGCAAUGCAAUUGUGAUUCUGUAAUAAUGAUAAUAUGUGAAAGUUUCUUUUA